rnacentral:rRNA from 1 species
GAUGAACGCUAGCGGCAGGCUUAACACAUGCAAGUCGAGGGGCAGCGUAGAUUGCUUGCAAUCUGACGGCGACCGGCGCACGGGUGCGUAACGCGUAUAGAAUCUGCCUUACACAGGAGGAUAGCCUUUAGAAAUGAAGAUUAAUACUCCAUGGUUUUAUUUGGUGGCAUCAUUAAAUAAAUAAAGAUUUAUCGGUGUAAGAUGACUAUGCGUCCUAUUAGUUAGUUGGUGAGGUAACGGCUCACCAAGACAGCGAUAGGUAGGGGGUCUGAGAGGAUUAUCCCCCACACUGGUACUGAGACACGGACCAGACUCCUACGGGAGGCAGCAGUGAGGAAUAUUGGACAAUGGGCGAGAGCCUGAUCCAGCCAUGCCGCGUGCAGGAAGACUGCCCUAUGGGUUGUAAACUGCUUUCAUAUAGGAAGAAACGAGUCUACGUGUAGAUUUUUGACGGUACUAUAUGAAUAAGCACCGGCUAACUCCGUGCCAGCAGCCGCGGUAAUACGGAGGGUGCAAGCGUUAUCCGGAAUCAUUGGGUUUAAAGGGUCCGCAGGCGGUCAAUUAAGUCAGAGGUGAAAUCUCGCAGCUUAACUGUGAAACUGCCUUUGAUACUGGUUGACUUGAGUUAUAUGGAAGUAGAUAGAAUAAGUAGUGUAGCGGUGAAAAUGCAUAAUAUUUACUUAGAAUACCGAUUGCGAAGGCAGUCUACUACGUAUUGACUGACGCUCAUGGACGAAAGCGUGGGGAGCGAACAGG